rnacentral:rRNA from 1 species
AAAUUUAUAUGCAUAUAAAGGAGUGAAAUCUUUAAAUUGUAAUAUUAUUUUAUUUAAUUUUUUCAUACUAUUAAGAAAAAAACUAGGAUUAGAUACCCUAUUAUUCUUAAAUUAAAUUAUUUCUAAAGUAGUAAAGAUGAAACUUAAAAUUUUUGACGGUAUUUAAUUUUCUAAAGGAAUAUGUAAUUUAAUCGAAAAUACACGAAAAUCUUACUUAUUUUUUAUAUGUAUAUCUCCGUUGACAGAUUUUUAUAAAAAUUAUCUAUAAUUUUCUUAAAAUUUAAUAUUUUACAUCAGGUCAAGGUGCAAUAUAAAUAAGUUAUUAUGUAUUACAAUCAAAUUUUUUUUGAAAUUAGAUAGAUAGUUGAAAUACUAUUUUGAAAAUGAAUUUAUAAGUAAAU